GCAUCUCCAGCAGCUUUUUGACAGAGUCGUCACGUGCUACCAGUGUCUGCCGCUGCGUCUCCAGCCGCAGUUCCAUCUCCUGAAUGGUACGGCGGAGCAGGAUGAGCUCGCGAGUUUGCCUUUCUUGCUCCUCGCCCGGUUCAAGUGCGAGCGGCUCCCCAGGCGGCUGGAGCAGCUGGUUCAGGUCACGCUGGAUGCGCAACUCAGCCUGCAGCGCCUGCACUGUGGUCUGCAGGUGCUGCCAUGGAUGAGACAGGAGGACAAAUAUGAACAGCAGCUUUCUAUGAGCCGCCUGGGAGAACGGUCUGUCCGUGGCUAACGUGGAACACCUACCGUGCCCUGCAAAAAAAAUAAAAGGUCACACCUCUCGAAAUUUAUCUAGACUACAAGCCACCAGGUGACGUACAGAAGAAAAGACAUUAGCAGCAUCCUUUCCCAUCAAAGCUGGAAGGAGUUCGGUGACGUAACGCCUACGCUGCGCGCUCGCGACGUCCGCCUGCCUAAUCGGAGUGGGCGGGGCUAACGACAAAGAUUACGAAUUCCACGAAGGGUCUAUAACGAAGUGGGGCCGCCAUUUUGUUUUGUCUAUUCAAACUGAUGUGUGGCUUGAAAACAGUUGCUUUAAAGUGUCCAACUGAACACGAUGUAUCUGGGAAAUUUCACACACAUUACAUAUCUGUAUGAAUGUGCAAGUGUACAGGGGUUCCUAAUAAAAUAAUACAGUGUGUGUGUAUAAGUUGUCCUCAUGGUGUAAUUAUGCAGUUUUUAUGCUUUAUUUGUUUUAAUGUCCACAACAUUUCCAUUUUCGUGUAAAAAUACACACAACUCAAGAAGUCAAGUAUUUACAACAGCA